GUGCCAGCAGCCGCGGUAAUACAGAGGUGGCAAGCGUUGUUCGGAUUUACUGGGCGUAAAGGGUGCGUAGGCGGUUGCGUGUGUCGGAUGUGAAAUCUCACUGUUCAUCGGUGAAACUGCAUUCGAAACUACGUAACUCGAGUACUGGAGAGGAGAGCGGAAUUCUUGGUGUAGCGGUGAAAUGCGUUGAGAUCAAGAAGAACGCCGGUGGCGAAGGCGGCUCUCUGGACAGAAACUGACGCUGAGGCACGAAAGCUAGGGGAGCAAACAGGAUUAGAUACCCUGGUAGUCCUAGCCGUAAACGUUGUGCACUUGGUGUGGGAGGAGUUUACCCCUUCCGUGCCGUAGCUAACGUGUUAAGUGCACCGCCUGGGGAGUACGGCCGCAAGGCUAAAACUCAAAGAAAUUGACGGGGGCCCGCACAAGCGGUGGAGCAUGUGGCUUAAUUCGAUGCAACGCGAAGAACCUUACCUGGGCUUGACAUGGCGAGACUUCGGUCUAAACCGGUGAAAGUCGGUUGAACGCACACAGGUGCUGCAUGGCUGUCGUCAGCUCGUGCCGUGAGGUGUUGGGUUAAGUCCCGCAACGAGCGCAACCCUUGUGGGUAGUUGCCACCCCCGUUCUGCGGGGAGCACUCUACUCAGACUGCCCGUGACAAGCGGGAGGAAGGUGGGGAUGACGUCAAGUCCGUAUGGCCCUUAUGCCCAGGGCUGCACACGUGCUACAAUGGUCGGUACAGAAAGAUGCAAGACCGCGAGGUGGAGCAAAUCUCCAAAACCGGCCCCAGUUCGGAUUGCAGUCUGCAACUCGACUGCAGAAGCCGGAAUCG
rnacentral:rRNA from 1 species